CAGGAAACAAUGAGCAAGGCUUAAAUGUAAGAUGUCUAAAUCUACGCCAUAUCCCUUAUAAACACUAACGAUAAUUCGCUGAAAUACAAGUUAGUCUGAUAUGUCAUUAAGCAAACAAACGCUGGAGUUAAUAUUUGAUAUGCCGUUUUUCGCUAAUUUUUAAACACAUCCCAAAAUAUGCUCCCGAUUUGAACAUCUACUUGAAUUCUUAAGUAAAAUACAACUAUAAUAUAUCAAAAUCUAAGUUAGUCCUUUUUCUAUUUAAUGUAAGUUAUUUGUGUUUGAUAGCUUUACUUGUUUAGAAGUUAUUAAGAAUCAAACCGG